rnacentral:rRNA from 1 species
UCCUACGGGGCGCAGCAGUGGGGAAUAUUGCGCAGUGGGCGAAAGCCUGACGCAGCGACGCCGCGUGAGGGAUGAAGGUCUUCGGAUCGUAAACCUCUGUCAGCAGGGAAGAACGGUCACUGUGCUAAUCAGCAGUGAAUUGACGGUACCUGCAAAGGAAGCACCGGCUAACUCCGUGCCAGCAGCCGCGGUAAUACGGAGGGUGCGAGCGUUAAUCGGAAUUACUGGGCGUAAAGCGCUCGUAGGCGGUAUGUCAAGUCAAGGGUGUAAUCCCCGCGCUCAACGUGGGAACUGCCUUUGAAACU